rnacentral:misc_RNA from 1 species
CCGAGUUAGGGUCGCCCCUCGGGGUGCCCGACCUCCCCACCCCGUGUCUACCACACCUCACGUUGCUUCGGCGGGCCGGACGCGACCAACUGGUCGUGGCCGCCGGUCCCUACGGGGACUGGAGAGCCGCCCGCCGAUGGCCCCCAACCCAAAACUCUUCGUACCAAAACCUGUCGUCUGAAACAUUAUUUUGAAUAAAUCAAAACA